CGCGGCGUAGCUCAGGGGUUAGAGCGCCUCGAAAACAUCGAGGAGGUCGUUGGUUCAAAUCCAACCGUCGCUA
rnacentral:tRNA from 1 species